rnacentral:rRNA from 1 species
CGAAGGGUGCAAGCGUUACUCGGAAUUACUGGGCGUAAAGCGUGCGUAGGUGGUUCGUUAAGUCUGUCGUGAAAGCCCCGGGCUCAACCUGGGAACGGCGAUGGAUACUGGCGGGCUAGAGUGCGGUAGAGGAGAGUGGAAUUCCCGGUGUAGCAGUGAAAUGCGUAGAGAUCGGGAGGAACAUCAGUUGCGAAGGCGGCUCUCUGGACCAGCACUGACACUGAGGCACGAAAGCGUGGGGAGCAAACAGGAUUAGAUACCCUGGUAGUCCACGCCCUAAACGAUGCGAACUGGACGUUGGGAGCAAUCAGGCUCUCAGUGUCGAAGCCAACGCGUUAAGUUCGCCGCCUGGGGAGUACGGUCGCAAGACUG